UUUCAGCUGUAUAUGACUGUACACUCAAUUUCAGAAAUAAUGAAAAUCCAACACUGCUGGGAGUCCUAAACGGAAAGAAAUACCAUGCAGAUUUGUAUGUUAGGAGGAUCCCACUGGAAGACAUCCCUGAAGACGAUGACGAGUGCUCGGCCUGGCUGCACAAGCUCUACCAGGAGAAGGGCUGGGGCGACACCGAGUUCUCUAAGCAGUAUGUGUCUGUGAGCAGGCCUGGGAGGCUGGCCCUUUGCCCUUCCGAGAAGAUCGCUGAGCAGCAAGUGGAAGUGGUGCAUGGUUUCUCCAAGCAGAGUGGUGAAUAGACAUCAAGGGACAAUUCCUUUCUGUAUCAGCCUAUUUUGCUAGGAGCCUAGAUCUAAAGCUUUACGUGCCCCAAAUCUGGGUGCCCGACCCAGUUUGUCAAAGUGGGAUUUCAUUUUAAUGAUCAACCUUGCAGUCAGAAGUGUGGUGUAUGUCAAAAGACAGUUCUGUUGAU
rnacentral:lncRNA from 1 species